UGGGACGUGGCCAAGUGGUAAGGCAGCGGUUUUUGGCACCGCCAUUCGCAGGUUCGAAUCCUUCCGUCCCAG
rnacentral:tRNA from 2 species